rnacentral:rRNA from 1 species
AUUGAACGCUGGCGGCAGGCCUAACACAUGCAAGUCGAGCGGAGCGGCGGACGGGUGAGUAAUGCCUAGGAAUCUGCCUGGUAGUGGGGGAUAACGUCCGGAAACGGGCGCUAAUACCGCAUACUAUCAGAUGAGCCUAGGUCGGAUUAGCUAGUUGGUGGGGUAAAGGCCUACCAAGGCGACGAUCCGUAACUGGUCUGGGAGGAUGAUCAGUCACACUGGAAAUGGGAAACGGUCCAGACUCCUACGGGAGGCAGCAGUGGGGAAUAUUAGACAAUGGGCGAAAGCCUGAUCCAGCCAUGCCGCGUGUGUGAAGAAGGUCUUCGGAGUGUAAAGCACUUUAAGUAGGGAAGCGUUACCGACAGAAUAAGCACCGGCUAACUUCGUGCCAGAAGCCGCGGUAAUAC